rnacentral:tRNA from 1 species
GUUAUUUUGGCAGAUUAGUGCAUUAAAUUUAGAAUUUAAUUAUGUAUAUUUUUAUACAUUUAACA